rnacentral:tRNA from 1 species
AUUAUUUUGGCAGAUUAGUGCAUUAAAGUUAGAAUUUAAUUAUGUAUAUAAAUUACAAAUAAU